GAAAAAAAGAAUUACUUGAUCUUAAAUCGCUACUGCUGACAAAUUCGGGAAUAUGAAGCAUAGAAGAAAUUUCACACAACUCAGCUACAGCCACUGCCAUGGGAUGUGACCAGGGCACGGCACUUCUGCAGAGCUCAGGCUCCCUCUCAUUUUGAAAACAUUUUCUCUAUUUUCUGUGUUCCUGAAAACAAAAGUUGCUGGAGACGCUAAGUACUUUGGUUACACGUACAACCUGUCGUGCAUCCCAGUCUCCAUUUCAACUCAGUCUUCAGUGACCACAGUACAACAAUUAGAUCCAUUAUCUGCAAGCAGACACAAGGUCUAGGUUUUCAGAAGUGACUAGAAAGAAGGAUUAAUGAGAUGUGUUGAUGGUACAGUCUUCAGGUACAGUCUUUUUAGAAAGUUCUGUGGAUCUUCUCUCCAAAAUCCAUUUGAAGUGCUUCAGGUAGAAGAAAGGAAAACGUGUUGUCUCUUGAAAAUCUUGGCUCAAGGAUUCAUCAGGAAAAUACUAUCAGAGCAGAGACCACAUGCUCCUUGGAUACCUGGCUGUUGUUUUAGCAGAUUGACAAAUAGACAUACUUUUGCAUGA
rnacentral:lncRNA from 1 species